GACGAACGCUGGCGGCGUGCUUAACACAUGCAAGUCGAACGAAGAGCGAUGGAAGCUUGCUUCUAUCAAUCUUAGUGGCGAACGGGUGAGUAACGCGUAAUCAACCUGCCCUUCAGAGGGGGACAACAGUUGGAAACGACUGCUAAUACCGCAUACGAUCUAAACUCGGCAUCGAGGAUAGAUGAAAGGUGGCCUCUACAUGUAAGCUAUCACUGAAGGAGGGGAUUGCGUCUGAUUAGCUAGUUGGAGGGGUAACGGCCCACCAAGGCGAUGAUCAGUAGCCGGGCGGAGAGGAUGAACGGCCACAUUGGGACUGAGACACGGCCCAGACUCCUACGGGAGGCAGCAGUGGGGAAUCUUCCGCAAUGGACGAAAGUCUGACGGAGCAACGCCGCGUGAGUGAUGACGGCCUUCGGGUUGUAAAGCUCUGUUAAUCGGGACGAAAGGCCUUCUUGCGAAUAGUGAGAAGGAUUGACGGUACCGGAAUAGAAAGCCACGGCUAACUACGUG
rnacentral:rRNA from 1 species